UUAUUUUAAUGGGUGGUACCACUGGGUUGG
rnacentral:rRNA from 1 species